AUUGCUCAAACAGGAUAAGCCUGCAAUCUACCGUCAUUUUAUAUGAACUAGUUUUAAAAUAUCAGAUUCGACAGAAUUCCGGAUCGGUAUGGUUCUGGCGUACAGGUUAGUCACUGGAAUUUCACCUAAAAUAUUUCGACACUUUUCCGUGUGCUAUUUGUAGUAGUGAUGGGCAGAACGGUUCUUUUGACCGAACCGGUACUUUCGGAUCAGUUCCGUGAAAGAUUCGUUCAGAACGAUUCGUUCAUCUCGGUCAUUUCGUUCUUUUCUGUGAAUAGGAUCUGGCUCUUUUAUCAGGUGUCGUAACUCGUUCAUCCUUUAGAGUAUUGGCUACGUGUUUGCUUCCAGCCUCCCCUCGUUAUCGCGUGACCCGAUAACGAGAGGAGGCUGGAUCGCGUGGGUGGUUAUCUUUAUCUACUCUGCAUGGGUAAAUGAAAUUUCAAACGUCUAGUUGUAUAAUGACUGUUAUAAAAUUAUUGACUGCAAAUGCUUCAUGCAGUGAUUCUAUAUAAUACGGGAGCAUUAAAUCUAAGAAUGUUAGGUACGAAAGUGAUCUUUCUUAACUUUAAUUUGUAAUCGCACUAUUAUAGCUAGUACUUGAACAUUGCUUUUCGUAGCCAGUGAAUCACAGUUGCGUAUAUGAAACAAGAUUAUUUAUAUUGUAUUACUUUUUAAGUUACAAAUAUUAAUAUACAGGCUAUUUACACUCUAGAGAGAGUAAAGUGUUUACAUGUAGACCAACACAUUUAGAGAAAAAAAGACAAAAAUUGAAUACUACUACUGCGAUUCAGUAUGAAGAGAGAAAAAUGAAGUAGGUACAUUAAUUAACACCUAAAUGGUAAGUGUGAACAUUUGUAGUUACUUUCCCUGUUAUUUUUAAUUCAUGUUUUUUUUCCCCCCAAAUUUGUGUAUGUGAAUGUGAAAACGCAAUUUUAAACCACUACUUAACAGUUGACAUUUUCAGGUAUAGAUACUUUUCAUGUUACCCUAUUUUAUUUGAUCAGUUAUCGUUUGCUCUUAUGAACAUGCUCACGCUGUGAUUACUAAUUCUUCAGACUCCUGACGUCAUGAAUCAUUUCACGAACGAAUCAGACCGGGCGCGUGGCCGGUUCUCUCAUCUCGUUCUCUCGUUCUCUCCGCGUUUUCGUUCUUCCGAAUCUUUCAAGGUACCGGCUCUCAAAGAGCCGGUUCUCUCGUUCUCUCCGCAUUUUCGUUCUACCGAAUCUUUCAAAAUACCGGCUCUCAAAGAGCCGGUUCUUUACAUCGCGAACGAAUCGCAAGAUUUCGUUCUCUCAAAGAUUCGUUCUUUUUGAACGAAUCGUUAACGAACGACCCAUCACUAAUUUGUAGAUGCUAAUAACAAACAGAAUAGUCACUACGCCGUUUCGACACAAUUCCGUCAUUCCUACGAUUGUGCGGAAUAUAUACUAUUCCGUGUCGGUACAAAUCCGGGCCACCUUUCAGAAUUUAUUUCGUAGACGGAAUAGUCACUAUUCCGUUCGAUGAAAAUCCGUUCUUCUACUUAGGGAAUCCGGAAUAGUCACUACGCCGCACAAUACAUGGGAUUGGGCCACUCUCUUCAAAGAAUUGUAAUUUGAGUUUAAACAUAGCAAGGCUGACCAUAAAUUGUAGAGGCAAAUUUAAAAUGUUGAUCUUCAACAUAUUUAUAACCUAUGAUCAUGUGAUGUAUAUACAGCUAGUUAGAAAGUAAGUUGUAGUAUAGUAUGCAAUUGAACCUUCAAUAAGUUCUACAUCCACACUUAAAAACUUAUUUUUACUUGAUGUUUUAUGUUCUAUAACUAUUCAGUAUAAAGGUUUUUUUUUACAUUAUAAACUACAAAAGUAUUCAGAUUUCUAAAUGUAAUGAAAUUCCACUGAGCCCUCUACCUUUUUUUUAACUACCAUUUCUGCCUUGUGGCCUUUUUUUUCUUACUUUUGUGUUCAUUAUAAGUUACAACCACUCAUUUGAUUUAUUGUGUUAAAUUAAAUGAUAUUUAAAAUUGGAUGUCACUUCAUAAGAACAUUCAGGAUUACCUGUAUUCACAGUGCACAAUUAUACAAAAGUUUUUUAUGUAUGUAAAAGUUUUUUACGUAAGAUAGUGGACACAUACAUGUAUUAAAGUAACAUGAGAAAAUUGAAAUAUCUAAAAUAAAGUUAAAAGGUUACAAGCUUUUAUAUACAUGCAGCUCCCAAAAAAGUCUGCAUACUAAAAAAUAACAAAUGAUUUUAAAUGAAUUCUUACCAUCUUAUAAACUAGUAGUAUUUUGUUAUUUGGUUUCAAAUGAAUUGUUUUUGGUUAAUUUAUUUGACUGUAGGGAUUAAAUAUCAUUUGUAGAAUAAAGUGUGAAAAGUAGUAUUGAUCGAUUUAACUGUAAGUACAAAAUAUGUGUUACAUUUCUUGUAAGUUAAAAUUGUUCAGGUAUUAUAAAUUAGCUGGAAAAAGCAAACUCAUGACUAGAAUAAAUUGUACUGUUAGGUAUGUUUCGAAGAAAGACUACCUGUUGCAGUCGUUACCAUGUGUAUGUACCACAUUUUUAUUGUCAUGUUAACUGCCAUAAUUUUGUAGAAAUAAAUCACUUAAUACAUAAAA